CCUACGGGUGGCUGCAGUGGGGAAUCUUGCGCAAUGGGCGAAAGCCUGACGCAGCCAUGCCGCGUGAAUGAUGAAGGUCUUAGGAUUGUAAAAUUCUUUCACCGGGGACGAUAAUGACGGUACCCGGAGAAGAAGCCCCGGCUAACUUCGUGCCAGCAGCCGCGGUCAUACGAAGGGGGCUAGCGUUGCUCGGAAUUACUGGGCGUAAAGGGAGCGUAGGCGGACUGUUUAGUCAGAGGUGAAAGCCCAGGGCUCAACCUUGGAAUUGCCUUUGAUACUGGCAGUCUUGAGUACGGAAGAGGUAUGUGGAACUCCGAGUGUAGAGGUGAAAUUCGUAGAUAUUCGGAAGAACACCAGUGGCGAAGGCGACAUACUGGUCCGUUACUGACGCUGAGGCUCGAAAGCGUGGGGAGCAAACAGGAUUAGAUACCCGAGUAGUC
rnacentral:rRNA from 1 species